rnacentral:rRNA from 1 species
GAAUGGGGAAACCCAGUGUGACUCGUCACACUAUCAUUAACUGAAUCCAUAGGUUAAUGAGGCGAACCGGGGGAACUGAAACAUCUAAGUACCCCGAGGAAAAGAAAUCAACCGAGAUUCCCCCAGUAGCGGCGAGCGAACGGGGAGGAGCCCAGAGCCUGAAUCAGCAUGUGUGUUAGUGGAAGCGUCUGGAAAGGCGCGCGAUACAGGGUGACAGCCCCGUACACAAAAGCGCAUGUGCUGUGAGCUCGAUGAGUAGGGCGGGACACGUGGUAUCCUGUCUGAAUAUGGGGGGACCAUCCUCCAAGGCUAAAUACUCCUGACUGACCGAUAGUGAACCAGUACCGUGAGGGAAAGGCGAAAAGAACCCCGGCGAGGGGAGUGAAAAAGAACCUGAAACCGUGUACGUACAAGCAGUGGGAGCACCCUUUUGGGUGUGACUGCGUACCUUUUGUAUAAUGGGUCAGCGACUUAUAUUCUGUAGCAAGGUUAACCGAAUAGGGGAGCCGAGGGAAACCGAGUCUUAAUUGGGCGUUAAGUUGCAGGGUAUAGACCCGAAACCCGGUGAUCUAGCCAUGGGCAGGUUGAAGGUUGGGUAACACUAACUGGAGGACCGAACCGACUAAUGUUGAAAAAUUAGCGGAUGACCUGUGGCUGGGGGUGAAAGGCCAAUCAAACCGGGAGAUAGCUGGUUCUCCCCGAAAGCUAUUUAGGUAGCGCCUCGUGAAUUCAUCUCCGGGGGUAGAGCACUGUUUCGGCUAGGGGGCCAUCCCGGCUUACCAACCCGAUGCAAACUGCGAAUACCGGAGAAUGUUAUCACGGGAGACACACGGCGGGUGCUAACGUCCGUCGUGAAGAGGGAAACAACCCAGACCGCCAGCUAAGGUCCCAAAGUCAUGGUUAAGUGGGAAACGAUGUGGGAAGGCCCAGACAGCCAGGAUGUUGGCUUAGAAGCAGCCAUCAUUUAAAGAAAGCGUAAUAGCUCACUGGUCGAGUCGGCCUGCGCGGAAGAUGUAACGGGGCUAAACCAUGCACCGAAGCUGCGGCAGCGACACUAUGUGUUGUUGGGUAGGGGAGCGUUCUGUAAGCCUGUGAAGGUGUGCUGUGAGGCAUGCUGGAGGUAUCAGAAGUGCGAAUGCUGACAUAAGUAACGAUAAAGCGGGUGAAAAGCCCGCUCGCCGGAAGACCAAGGGUUCCUGUCCAACGUUAAUCGGGGCAGGGUGAGUCGACCCCUAAGGCGAGGCCGAAAGGCGUAGUCGAUGGGAAACGGGUUAAUAUUCCCGUACUUGGUGUUACUGCGAAGGGGGGACGGAGAAGGCUAUGUUGGCCGGGCGACGGUUGUCCCGGUUUAAGCGUGUAGGUGUGUGUUCCAGGUAAAUCCGGUUCACUUUAACACUGAGGCGUGAUGACGAGGCACUACGGUGCUGAAGCAACAAAUGCCCUGCUUCCAGGAAAAGCCUCUAAGCAUCAGGUAACAUCAAAUCGUACCCCAAACCGACACAGGUGGUCAGGUAGAGAAUACCAAGGCGCUUGAGAGAACUCGGGUGAAGGAACUAGGCAAAAUGGUGCCGUAACUUCGGGAGAAGGCACGCUGACACGUAGGUGAAGUGAUUUACUCAUGGAGCUGAAGUCAGUCGAAGAUACCAGCUGGCUGCAACUGUUUAUUAAAAACACAGCACUGUGCAAACACGAAAGUGGACGUAUACGGUGUGACGCCUGCCCGGUGCCGGAAGGUUAAUUGAUGGGGUCAGCGCAAGCGAAGCUCCUGAUCGAAGCCCCGGUAAACGGCGGCCGUAACUAUAACGGUCCUAAGGUAGCGAAAUUCCUUGUCGGGUAAGUUCCGACCUGCACGAAUGGCGUAAUGAUGGCCAGGCUGUCUCCACCCGAGACUCAGUGAAAUUGAACUCGCUGUGAAGAUGCAGUGUACCCGCGGCAAGACGGAAAGACCCCGUGAACCUUUACUAUAGCUUGACACUGAACAUUGAGCCUUGAUGUGUAGGAUAGGUGGGAGGCUUUGAAGUGUGGACGCCAGUCUGCAUGGAGCCGACCUUGAAAUACCACCCUUUAAUGUUUGAUGUUCUAACGUGGACCCGUGAUCCGGGUUGCGGACAGUGUCUGGUGGGUAGUUUGACUGGGGCGGUCUCCUCCUAAAGAGUAACGGAGGAGCACGAAGGUUGGCUAAUCCUGGUCGGACAUCAGGAGGUUAGUGCAAUGGCAUAAGCCAGCUUGACUGCGAGCGUGACGGCGCGAGCAGGUGCGAAAGCAGGUCAUAGUGAUCCGGUGGUUCUGAAUGGAAGGGCCAUCGCUCAACGGAUAAAAGGUACUCCGGGGAUAACAGGCUGAUACCGCCCAAGAGUUCAUAUCGACGGCGGUGUUUGGCACCUCGAUGUCGGCUCAUCACAUCCUGGGGCUGAAGUAGGUCCCAAGGGUAUGGCUGUUCGCCAUUUAAAGUGGUACGCGAGCUGGGUUUAGAACGUCGUGAGACAGUUCGGUCCCUAUCUGCCGUGGGCGCUGGAGAACUGAGGGGGGCUGCUCCUAGUACGAGAGGACCGGAGUGGACGCAUCACUGGUGUUCGGGUUGUCAUGCCAAUGGCACUGCCCGGUAGCUAAAUGCGGAAGAGAUAAGUGCUGAAAGCAUCUAAGCACGAAACUUGCCCCGAGAUGAGUUCUCCCUGAGACUUUAAGUCUCCUGAAGGAACGUUGAAGACGACGACGUUGAUAGGCCGGGUGUGUAAGCGCAGCGAUGCGUUGAGCUAACCGGUACUAAUGAACCGUGAGGCUUAACCUUACAACGCCGAAG